GCCUUCGUGGUAUAGUGGUCAGCACGUUCGAAGCGUAAUCAAGAUGUCUGUGGUUCGAUUCCCGGCGAAGGCG
rnacentral:tRNA from 1 species